rnacentral:rRNA from 1 species
AGUCUAGCAUGUGCGCGAGUCAUUGGGACUCAAUAAACCUAAAGGCGCAAUGAAAGUGAAAGUCUGUUUACGCGGACUUAGGGAGGAUAGGUGCGUACACAUCUGUGUACAACCUCGCACUCCCGGGGCGUCUCGCACUCAUUGCGAGGUGGGGCGCACCAAGAGCGUACACGCUGGGACCCGAAAGAUGGUGAACUAUGCCUGGUCAGGACGAAGUCAGGGGAAACCCUGAUGGAGGUCCGUAGCGAUUCUGACGUGCAAAUCGAUCGUCGGAACUGGGCUUAGGGGCGAAAGACUAAUCGAACCAUCUAGUAGCUGGUUCCCACCGAAGUUUCCCUCAGGAUAGCUGGCACUAGAUUAUGGAUGAGUCUCAUCCGGUAAAGCGAAUGAUUAGAGGCAUUGGGGUCGAAACGGCCUCAACCUAUUCUCAAACUUUAAAUGGGUGAGAUCUCCGGCUUGCUCGAUUUAUGAAGCCGGAGAUCGGAUCAAUUAGUGCCAAGUGGGCCACUUUUGGUAAGCAGAACUGGCGCUGUGGGAUGAACCAAACGCAGAGUUAAAGCGCCAAAAUCGACGCUUAUGGGAUACCAUGAAAGGCGUUGGUAACUUAAGACAGCAGGACGGUGGCCAUGGAAGUC